rnacentral:rRNA from 1 species
CCCCGCACAAGCAGCGGAGCGUGUGGUUUAAUUCGAUGCUACACGAAGACCUUACCAGGGUUUGACAUGCAAGUGGUAGGAAACCGAAAGGCGACCGACCCUUCGGGGAGCUUGCACAGGUGCUGCAUGGCUGUCGUCAGCUCGUGUCGUGAGAUGUUCGGUUAAGUCCGCUAACGAGCGCAACCCUCGCUGUGUGUUACAAGUGUCACACGGUACUGCCGGUCUUAAGCCGGAGGAAGGUGGGGAUGACGUCAAGUCAGCAUGGCCUUUAUGUCCUGGGCUACACACACGCUACAAUGGCCAACACAAUAGGUUGCUAAGCCGCGAGGUGGAGCCAAUCCUCAAAGUUGGUCUCAGUUCAGAUUGCAGGCUGCAACUCGCCUGCAUGAAGAUGGAGCUGCUAGUAACCGCAGGUCAGCUAUACUGCGGUGAAUACGUUCCCGGGGCUU